rnacentral:lncRNA from 1 species
UUCGAGACCAGCCUGGACAACAUUGCAAGACCUCAUCUCUACAAAAAAUUUUAAAAUUAGCUGGGCUGGUUAUGCAGGCUUGUAGUCUCAGCUACUCAGGAGGCUGGGGUGGGAAGAUUGAGCCCAGGAGUUCAAAGCUGCAGUAAGUUGUGAUCAUACCACUGCACUCCAGCCUGUGUACCAGAACAAGGCCCUGUCUCCAGAAAAAAAAGUGAUGAUGUAGGACAUAAGGUGGAAGAGGAACUAUGAAGGGCCUUAUAUUCCAGGCUAAAAAUAUGGAGUUUCGUUCUUGUUGCCCAGGCUGGAGUGCAAUGGCACGAUCUCAGCUCACCGCAACCUCUGCCUCCCGGGUUCAAGUGAUUCUCCUGCUUCAGCCUCCCAAGUAGCUGGGACUACAGGCAUGAGCCACCACACCCAGCUAAUUUUGUAUUUUUAGUAGAGACAUGGUUUCUCCAUGUUGGUCAGGCUGGUCUCAAAC